rnacentral:rRNA from 1 species
UACGUAGGGGGGCGAGCGUUGUCCGAAGUUACUGGGCGUAAAGAGCGUGUAGGCGGCCUGAAAGGUCAGCUGUGAAAACUCGAGGCUCAACCUCGAGACGUCGGUUGAAACCAUCUGGCUAGAGUCCGGAAGAGGAGUGUGGAAUUCCCGGUGUAGCGGUGAAAUGCGCAGAUAUCGGGAAGAACACCCGUGGCGAAGGCGGCACUCUGGGACGGUACUGACGCUGAGACGCGAAAGCGUGGGGAGCGAACAGG